rnacentral:rRNA from 1 species
UGGGGAAUAUUGCACAAUGGGGGAAACCCUGAUGCAGCGACGCCGCGUGAGCGAAGAAGGUUUUCGGUUCGUAAAGCUCUUUCCUAUGAGAAGAUAAUGAUGGUAUCACCGGAGGAAGCCCCGGCUAAAUACGUGCCACCAGCCGCGGUAAUACGUAUGGGGCGAGCGUUGUCCGGAAUUAUUGGGCGUAAAGGGUACGUAGGCGGUUAAGAAAGUUAGGUGUGAAAGCGUAGGGCUUAACAAAAGUAAGCAGUUGAAACUGAUAAGCUUGAGGUAAGGAGAGGAAAGUGGAAUUCCUAGUGUAGCGGUGAAAUGCGUAGAUAUUAGGAGGAAUACCGGUGGCGAAGGCGACUUUCUGGACUUAUACUGACGCUGAGGUACGAAAGCGUGGGGAGCAAACAGG